CCUUUCCUAGUUUGCCCAACUUUCCUUACGUGCCAUUGCCUCCUUUGCCCCUAGGGACACCGCUAUACCCUGAGUACAGAUUGCCACCACCAAUUACUACAAUUCCAAUUGUUCCUUACUUUCCCUCAGUGCCAAUCUUCUCUCCACCAGUUACGACCACCACCACCCCUUAAGGAUGAUUAUCCUCCCUUUAUUGGUUUAUAUAUGUGGCACUACCAUGCCCUUAAAUAAAAGGGUAGUAUUUGUUACACCCACGUGUGUUCAACUCAUGAUUUCAAUUAAAAAAAUUUGCUUUUGUGCAAUAGCUUUUAUCCUAAAUAAAAAGGUCCAUUCAUAAUCAUAAACACUCUCGUUGUAUGUACUCCUUGUUGGAGACUUAUGUUGUUUGUGGACUUAAUGUGCCAUAUAUUACUAUAAAAUAAUUUUCUCUGUUUCGUGUAUAGAUUUGUACUGGUAGGAACUAUGUAUAUGAUUGAGAAUUCUGAUGUAAUUGGUGAUAUAUUGAUUUAAUGCUAUGAGGUUGUUCUUAGCUA